UACGUAGGGGGCAAGCGUUGUCCGGAAUUACUGGGCGUAAAGCGCACGUAGGCGGCUUUGCAAGUUAGAGGUGAAAGCCCGGGGCUCAACUCCGGAAUUGCCUUUAAAACUGCAUCGCUAGAAUUGUGGAGAGGUAAGUGGAAUUCCGAGUGUAGAGGUGAAAUUCGUAGAUAUUCGGAGGAACACCAGUGGCGAAGGCGGCUCACUGGCUCGGUACUGACGCUGAGGUGCGAAAGCGUGGGGAGCAAACAGG
rnacentral:rRNA from 1 species